UCUCGGCAACGGAUAUCUCGGCUCUCGCAUCGAUGAAGAACGUAGCGAAAUGCGAUACUUGGUGUGAAUUGCAGAAUCCCGUGAACCAUCGAGUCUUUGAACGCAAGUUGCGCCCGAAGCCUUUGGCUGAAGGCACGUCUGCCUGGGCGUCACGCAUCGC
rnacentral:rRNA from 1 species